rnacentral:rRNA from 1 species
GUCGAACGGUGACCCAGGAGCUUGCUCCGGGCGAUCAGUGGCGAACGGGUGAGUAACACGUGAGUAACCUGCCCCAGACUCUGGGAUAACAUCGGGAAACCGGUGCUAAUACCGGAUAUGAGACGAGACCGCAUGGUCAUCGUCUGGAAAGAUUUAUCGGUCUGGGAUGGACUCGCGGCCUAUCAGCUAGUUGGUGAGGUAAUGGCCCACCAAGGCGACGACGGGUAGCCGGCCUGAGAGGGCGACCGGCCACACUGGAACUGAGACACGGUCCAGACUCCUACGGGAGGCAGCAGUGGGGAAUAUUGCACAAUGGGCGCAAGCCUGAUGCAGCAACGCCGCGUGGGGGAUGAAGGCCUUCGGGUUGUAAACCCCUUUUAGCAGGGAAGAAGCGAAAGUGACGGUACCUGCAGAAAAAGCGCCGGCUAACUACGUGCCAGCAGCCGCGGGUAAUACGUAGGGCGCAAGCGUUGUCCGGAAUUAUUGGGCGUAAAGAGCUCGUAGGCGGUUUGUCGCGUCUGCUGUGAAAGUCCGAGGCUCAACCUCGGAUCUGCAGUGGGGUACGGGCAGACUAGAGUGUGGUAGGGGAGACUGGAAUUCCUGGGUGUAGCGGUGGAAUGCGCAGAUAUCAGGAGGAACACCAAUGGCGAAGGCAGGUCUCUGGGCCACAACUGACGCUGAGGAGCGAAAGCGUGGGUAGCACACAGGAUUAGAUACCCUGGUAGUCCACGCCGUAAACGGUGGGCACUAGAUGUGGGGCUCUUUCCAUGAGUUCCGCGUCGCAGCUAACGCAUUAAGUGCCCCGCCUGGGGGAGUACGGCCGCAAGGCUAAA